GCGGCGGGGAGAAGCCUGAGGAGCGGACGGGAAAUGAGACCAGGCAGACAGAAUCUUAGCUGGAGGGCCCCGGAGACUGUUGCUAUUUUUACCUGAGAGACUUGAGCUCCUUUCCAAGCUACCGGGAGGGGAGGCUGACCUGCAGGCAGGUGACCCCAGAGUGAAUUAUGCAUCCCUGACUUGGGACACAGCCAACCGGCCGCAGGGUAAGGGUAGUACCCGACCUUGCUCAGGAAAUAAUCUGCCAAGAGAGGCACAGAGAGUAACACGCUUGUUCCAAACGCCCGUGUAGGCCUCGGGCUCCACACAGCCCAUGGGGAUAGCUCUGGCCAUUGUUUUGGCUUUAUAACGCACGGUGGCUUUCCUUUUCACUGGACACUGUCAGUCCAAUUAUAACUAAUCACUAUCAUCACAAAGAUGACCCACUAGGAUGAGCACUGGGUGUUAUACCAUAUUUUGGCAAGUUGAACUUCAGUAAAAACAAAUGAAUAAAAAAGAAAAAAAAAAAACACACAAAAACCCAAAGAUGACCCACCAGACAUGUCUUAAAAGGAAGCCGGCAACUAAUGCAUCAAUUCCAAACUUUAAGGGGCAGUGAUGCUUGAGCUCAGGCAGCACAGCUCUGCACGGUGGGUGAGGCUGAAUUAUUAGAACAGCCCCUCACAGGUCUCCACGUUCCAGGCCUUCUCCCUGCCAAUCCAUUGGCCAUUUCCAUUUUCAAAGCCCUUGACAUGCAAAGACCUGAUCCUCACUCACCUCUCCAGGAGCUUCCCUUUGGAGCACCCUUCACACUACAUUUGGGCCACAGUCCAGUGACCCUACCUUUGGAACUAAGAAUCAUCGUAGUCAACAUUGUGAGCACUAGCUACACACGGGACAUCCGUCUUCAUGUGCACAAUCUCAUACACAAGUCUUAAAGCACGGAAAAUACCUAUCAAAUUAACCUGUAACAAGAGACUCCAGAUUGGCCUAAACUGCAUUCUCCCCAGGAAAAGCUUGACAAUGCCUGGCUUUGAUGAUGUACUCACAUUGUUUGCUUGCUCCUGCAUGAAGAGUUGACAUGCCAGAUCUCCCUCCCUGACCUCCAAGCAGAGCUUCCUUCGGGAGGCAAGUCUACUCAGGACAAAUCCCAGGGACAGCAGUGACCCUUGCACUCAUCUCCCCCAGCGGUGGGAAUGGAGAGAAAGCUCUCUCUUAGCUCCAUAUGGAGCCCAGAAAGAUGGUGGCAGAGGAGAAAUCACCAAAGCUCUUCCUCCCUCUAUGGAUAGAAGGGCAGUCGUUUCUGAGAACACGUAUCAACACUUAGUCAAGGAAGCAGCUGUGGAACAACGGUGUUGGGACUUGGCAGGCUGUCUCCACGGGGUACGAGCCUGUGGGAGCUGGGGAAGGCCACAGUGACACCAAAUCCGUGCAGAGCUCCUAUGUAAGCAUCAUCCUGGCAACACAAAGGAACGGCCAAAAAGCCAUUCUCCACUUUCUGAGUUACUUAGAACAAGGCAGUAUGGAGAUAUUAACUAACGUCACAAUGAAAGAACAAUUGCAUGGAAAGCUCUUCCCGUGUCUAUCCCAUCCCUCCCUUCCGCCUCCUCCCCCGGGGAUUCUGUUAUUUUUGCCUGAUCUAGUAUAAGAAGGACGCAUUGAAAGGGUUAAAGACUUACUUACUUGCUUUAGUUUC